rnacentral:rRNA from 1 species
UACGGAGGGUGCGAGCGUUGUCCGGAAUUACUGGGCGUAAAGGGAGCGUAGGCGGAUAGUUUAGUCAGAGGUGAAAGCCCAGGGCUCAACCCUGGAAUUGCCUUUGAUACUGGCUAUCUUGAGUAUGGGAGAGGUUAGCGGAACUCCGAGUGUAGAGGUGAAAUUCGUAGAUAUUCGGAAGAACACCAGUGGCGAAGGCGGCUAACUGGCCCAUUACUGACGCUGAGGCUCGAAAGCGUGGGGAGCAAACAGG